rnacentral:tRNA from 1 species
GGUGAUAUAGUAUAGUGGUUAGUACGGCGCGUUGUGGAGUUCUGCAGCCUCCAAUUCGCAAUGCCGCGCAGACGAGGGUUCGAUUCCCUCUAUCGCCA